rnacentral:sRNA from 1 species
CGCAGGUUCGAAUCCUGCACGACCCACCAAUUUAAAGGUGGUUACUGGUAGAGAACGUGAAGGAUAACGUUGCGUUAGCAACGGCCCGAAGGGCGAGACGAAGUCGAGUCAUCCUGCACGACCCACCA